AUUCUACCGCUUAUUCCCUUUCGGGGUCGCAGGGGGCGCUGGCGCCUAUCUCAGCUACAAUCGGGCGGAAGUCGGGGUACACCCUGGACAAGUCGCUACCCCACCACACCAUAUGUUGCAAAUCUGGUUUGUUUUCAUCAUUGGGGGACAUCGUCUUUUCAACGUGUACAAUUCAAUUUGCCAACCAUUCUGCGCGCACCGGCCAUUUGCGACCGUUUUCAACGAAACCGCCGCUUGAUGGCAGCGUGAACUAAAAGCCAAGCUUGUGCGCGUGCGUGCUGAAGUACUCCAAUCCAGCAAGCAAGACGAAGAGCGAAGAUUUGAAGUGGAAAUUGAACUAUUUCACUGCAAAGAAAACCAUCGACGUCCAUAAAGAUUCAGAAAUUGGAGGCAGUGGAGGAACUACUCGACCUUGACGAGUUGAUUAAAAACUCAACCAAGCAAGAAAGAUUUGCUGACAGCAAGGCUCUCAAAGAUUGGUGGAUAUGAUUUAAAGAGCUGUUUAAGCACCAUCAUGGACAGGUAUUUUCCUCUUUCUCUACAUAUAUAUUAAAAAUAGGCGAUGUAAGACCCAAAUUCUAAUCUAUGAGUGCUAGAUCGGGAAUUAUAAUAAUGCAAAAUUCUGUACUUUUUGGCCUGGAUGUAUGACUUGCGUGUUCAAUUUGAGGCUCAUGACAAAUGAAUUAAUGUCCAAUCUGAACAUGAAGGGUAGAGGGGGAAAAAAAUAGCUUUGCUGAGACGAAGCUGCUCGAUGUAGUCACAGCUAGUGUCUUGGAUACCCAGAAGGGGACCGAAACGAUGGUCCAUGAUGCCAUAAAAAAUAAACUGAAAUAUGCCCCUGGACGGAAGGGAGGAAUAGGAUGCGCAUCACAGGCUAAAUAAAUAAUUAUAUCGAU